rnacentral:rRNA from 1 species
AAAAGCAAAUAAGGGCGUAUGGCGGAUGCCUAGGCUCACGGAGGCGAUGAAGGACGUGAUAAGCUGCGAUAAGCCGCGGUUAGGUGCAAAUGACCCUUGACCCGCGGAUUUCCGAAUGGGACAACCCGGCCGCCUUACGGCGGUCAUCAUGACAGAGUCAUGAGGCGAACGCGGGGAACUGAAACAUCUUAGUACCCGCAGGAAGAGAAAAUAAGUCAAUGAUUCCCCCAGUAGUGGCGAGCGACCGGGGAAGAGCCCAAACCGGGUGUGUCGAGGCACAUCCGGGGUUGUAGGACCGCGCUGUUGUACGAGCAUGAGCGAGCGUGACCGUCUGGAAAGUCGGGCCGUAGCGGGUGAGAGCCCCCUUCGCGAAGUUCAUGCCGGCAUAGCGGUAUCCUGAGUAACGCGGGACACGAGGAAUCCUGCGCGAAUCCGCCGGGACCAUCCGGCAAGGCUAAAUACUCCCGUGAGACCGAUAGUGAACCAGUACCGUGAGGGAAAGGUGAAAAGAACUCCGACGAGGAGAGUGAAAUAGCCCCUGAAACCAUACGCCUACAAGCGGUCGGAGCAUGCGUAGCAUGUGACGGCGUGCCUUUUGCAUAAUGAACCUACGAGUUGCCGUCACGGGCAAGGUUAAGCGCCUAAGGCGCCGAGCCGCAGUGAAAGCGAGCCUGAAUAGGGCGCAGAGUCCGUGGAGGCAGACGCGAAACCGAGUGAUCUACACUUGUCCAGGAUGAAGUCCCGGUAACACGGGAUGGAGGUCCGCACCGAUAAGCGUUGAAAAGCUUCCGGAUGAGGUGAGUGUAGGAGUGAAAGGCCAAUCAAACUCGGAGAUAGCUCGUACUCCCCGAAAUGCAUUUAGGUGCAGCGUUCCGCGAUAGCGUCAAGAGGUAGAGCGACCGAUAGGAUGCGAGGGCUUCACCGCCUAUCAAGUCCUGACGAACUCCGAAUGCUUGACGCCCGCAGCGGGGCAGCAAGGGGGCGGGUGCUAAGGUCCGUCCCCGAGAGGAGAAGAAUCCAGACCGCCGUCUAAGGUCCCGGAAUUCUGCCUGAGUUAGUCUAACGAAGUGAGGUCCCUGAGACAGCCAGGAUGUUGGCUUGGAAGCAGCCAUUCAUUCAAAGAGUGCGUAACAGCUCACUGGUCGAGGGUCCUUGCGUGGAUAAUAAUCGGGUAUAAGGCAGAUACCGAAGGCGCGGGAUAGUAAUAAUAAAAGUAUCGGUAGGGGAGCAUUCCAUGUGCGUCGAAUGUUCAUGGUGACGUGAGCUGGAGCGCAUGGAAAAGCAAAUGUAGGUAUAAGUAACGACAAGGAGGGCGAGAACCCCUCCCGCCGCAAGACCAAGGUUUCCCGGGCAAUGCCAGUCAUCCCGGGGUCAGUCGGGUCCUAAGUCUAAGCCGAACGGCGAGGGCGAUGGCAGAAACGGUUAAUAUUCCGUUACUGCCUGUGCGAGCGAUGUGGAGACGGAGAAGUGGAACCGCCGCGGGGUGACGGAAGUCCCCGUUGAAGGGCGUAGGUUAUGAGGAAUGCAGGCAAAUCCGCAUUCCGAGCCGACCCUGACAGUACUCCGGCGCCUCCGGGCAACGGAGAUAGUGCGGGUAAUCAUGCUCCCGAGAAAAUCCGCUAAGCAAUCGCACAGGCACCCGUACCGCAAACGGACACACGUAGUCGGGUAGAAUAUACUAAGGCGUUGAGAGACUCAUGGUUAAGGAACUAGGCAAACUGACCCCGUAACUUCGGGAUAAGGGGUCCUCACGUAGAGUGAGGCGCAGAGAAUAGGUCCAGGCAACUGUUUAACAAAAACACAGGGCUGUGCGAACUCGAAAGAUGAAGUAUACAGCCUGACACCUGCCCGGUGCCGGAAGGUUAAGAGGAGAUGUCAACCUUUGUGGCGAAGCAUUGAAUUGAAGCCCCGGUAAACGGCGGCCGUAACUAUAACGGUCCUAAGGUAGCGAAAUUCCUUGUCGGGUAAGUUC